rnacentral:tRNA from 1 species
GCGCCUGUAGCUCAGAUGGAUAGAGCGCAACUUUGCGGAAGUUGAGGUCGCAGGUUCGAGCCCUGCCAGGCGUACCA